rnacentral:rRNA from 1 species
UACGUAGGGUGCGAGCGUUGUCCGGAAUUAUUGGGCGUAAAGAGCUCGUAGGCGGUUUGUCGCGUCGACUGUGAAAACCCGAGGCUUAACCUCGGGCCUGCAGUCGAUACGGGCAGACUAGAGUUCGGUAGGGGCAACUGGAAUUCUCGGUGUAGCGGUGAAAUGCGUAGAUAUCGAGAGGAACACCUGCGGCGAAGGCGGGUUGCUGGGCUGACACUGACGCUGAUGCGCGAAAGCUAGGGGAGCGAACGGG